CAGGACUUCUCCAUUGCUGCAGUGGAUAAAAGAGAAGYAACAAUCGAUCACAGUUGAUAUCUUAGUGCUCACUCAAACCGUUUGAAUGUGCCUUUGGUAGUGCUAGAGCUCAAAAAAUUCCUCCAAGUUUGAGGUACCGUUUUCAAAGAUUCCUCUAGAAGGACUCACAGCUGAAACGCUGCGGGGACCAGACUAUCCAAAAUGUAAAAGGGAAGGAAGGAUCUGGAACGAGUAAGACAAAAUCAUUUUGCAGUCAAAAAGAGCUGAGGAGGCCUCGCAAGAAAGGAUUGUUGGGCUGGAAGCUGAGCUGAAAAAGUAUGCAGGACAUAGCAAGUUAUUUCAAAGCACAGAGAAUGAAGUAGUCCCUUUUUCCAAGGUUUUGGCCUUCAGAAAUGAAGUCCAUCUUUUUUCAUAAGCUGUUGGAAUUACACUCACAAACCUUUUUUUAAAGCUACUGCUUCAGUUCCCAGACUCUUUUCUCUAAUGACUGUGUGUGUUACUACCUCACGAACUGAAACCCAGCUCUUCUGAAAUAUUUUGAAAACUAUCUGGCUUUAAUGUGGAGUUGAUCAAUUUGUGAAAGCUGUGUGGAGACCUGUGAUACCAAGGGACUGAAUUCAGUGACCCA